rnacentral:tRNA from 1 species
GGGCGGGUAGCUUAGUUUGGUUAGAGCGCCAGUCUUAUAUACUGGAGGUCGUGAGUUCAAAUCUCACCUCGCCCA